rnacentral:rRNA from 1 species
CCUACGGGAGGCAGCAGUGGGGAAUAUUGCACAAUGGGGGAAACCCUGAUGCAGCCAUGCCGCGUGUGUGAAGAAGGCCUUCGGGUUGUAAAGCACUUUCAGUAGGGAGGAAGGUAGUGUAGUUAACACCUGCAUUAUUUGACGUUACCUACAGAAGAAGCACCGGCUAACUCCGUGCCAGCAGCCGCGGUAAUACGGAGGGUGCGAGCGUUAAUCGGAAUUACUGGGCGUAAAGCGCAUGCAGGCGGCCUGUUAAGUCAGAUGUGAAAGCCCGGGGCUUAACCUCGGAAUUGCAUUUGAAACUGGCAAGCUUGAGUCUCGUAGAGGGGGGUAGAAUUCCAGGUGUAGCGGUGAAAUGCGUAGAGAUCUGGAGGAAUACCGGUGGCGAAGGCGGCCCCCUGGACGAAGACUGACGCUCAGGUGCGAAAGCGUGGGGAGCAAACAGGAUUAGAUACCCGGGUAGUC